AUUAGAAGAUGGGUUGGAGUUCAAUUGGUGACUAAUCAAGAAUGAAGCUGAAAUUGUGUUCUUGUUGUUGCAGUUACCAAAUAUUGGCUAGAGUAUUGCAGGUCAAGAGCUGGACAUGGCCUGGAAAUGGUUCAGCUGAACUGGUGCUGGUAAUUAUCUUUGAGCAGGGAUGUAGAAUGGCCUGAGUUACUGCUAAGAAGAUACAAGCAGGAAAGAUGAACUGAAGAUAAAUUUGCAGGCAGUGGUGGUGUUGCAGGUGAUAAUGCAAGUGCAAUUGCACUUGGAUUUGAGUCUGGUAGUGGCUGUAACCAGAUUGAGAGAAGAUGGUGUUGAAAUGAUUCAUAAGACCCAGUCGUUGUUGGUCGAUGUUCAAGGAAUAGUUGGUGAUAUCUGAAGCUGUUAUUGAGAUGGAUUUAUGAUACUCAUGUAAUUCAAGAAUGGGGUUGAGCUGAAGAGAGAAAUUGAAGUCUGUGGUGAGAUAAUUAAUGGGUAUGACUCAAAUUUGGGUUUCAUUCAUAUUAUAAAGGGAA